CACGUAGGGUGCAAGCGUUGUCCGGAAUUAUUGGGCGUAAAGAGCUCGUAGGCGGUCUGUCGCGUCUGCUGUGAAAACUCAGGGCUUAACCCUGAGCUUGCAGUGGGUACGGGCAGACUAGAGUGCGGUAGGGGAGACUGGAAUUCCUGGUGUAGCGGUGAAAUGCGCAGAUAUCAGGAGGAACACCGGUGGCGAAGGCGGGAUCCUGGGCCAGUACUGACGCUGAGGAGCGAAAGCGUGGGGAGCAAACAGG
rnacentral:rRNA from 1 species